rnacentral:tRNA from 1 species
GACAGCGUGGCCGAGUGGUUAAGGCGACAGAUUAGAAAUCUGUUCCGGUUUCCGGGCGUAGGUUCGAGUCCUACCGCUGUCG